UUAGAGUUUGAUCCUGGCUCAGGACGAACGCUGGCGGCGUGCCUAAUACAUGCAAGUCGAGCGGAUUUAUCCUUCGGGAUAAGUUAGCGGCGGACGGGUGAGUAACACGUAGGCAACCUGCCUAUAAGACUGGGAUAACUAUCGGAAACGAUAGCUAAGACCGGAUAACUGAUUUUCUCGCAUGAGAAAAUUAUGAAACACGGAGCAAUCUGUGGCUUAUAGAUGGGCCUGCGGCGCAUUAGCUAGUUGGUAGGGUAACGGCCUACCAAGGCGACGAUGCGUAGCCGACCUGAGAGGGUGAACGGCCACACUGGGACUGAGACACGGCCCAGACUCCUACGGGAGGCAGCAGUAGGGAAUCUUCCGCAAUGGACGCAAGUCUGACGGAGCAACGCCGCGUGAGUGAUGAAGGUUUUCGGAUCGUAAAGCUCUGUUGCCCUAGACGAACAGCAAGAGGAGUAACUGCCUUUUGUGUGACGGUAUAGGAGAAGAAAGCCCCGGCUAACUACGUGCCAGCAGCCGCGGUAAUACGUAGGGGGCAAGCGUUGUCCGGAAUUAUUGGGCGUAAAGCGCGCGCAGGCGGUCAAUUAAGUUGGGUGUUUAAGCCCGGGGCUCAACCCCGGUUCGCAUCCAAAACUGGUCGACUUGAGUGUAGGAGAGGAAAGUGGAAUUCCACGUGUAGCGGUGGAAUGCGUAGAGAUGUGGAGGAACACCAGUGGCGAAGGCGACUUUCUGGCCUAUAACUGACGCUGAGGCGCGAAAGCGUGGGGAGCAAACAGGAUUAGAUACCCUGGUAGUCCACGCCGUANACGA
rnacentral:rRNA from 1 species